AAAUUGAACUCAAGCAGGCCCAGGAGAAGUUGCUGGACAACGCCAGGAUGCACUCCUCCCUCAUGGCAGAGUGGAAGCUCUGUCAGCAGAAAGUCAAGGAGCUGGAGUUAGAAGGACUUAGGCAGACGCAGAGCAUUAAGUCCCAGCAGGGCCUACAGGAAAAGCUGGCUCGGGAGAAAUCGAAAACAGCGGAAGCACAGGAAAAGAUUUUGGACCUGCAGCAGAAACUAGACCACGCUCGACAAGUCUGCCUUUCAGAUGUUUGCAUUUUGCGGAGGAAGCAGCUAGAGGAAGAGAUCAAGGAAGCAAAGAGCACAGAGGCCAGGCUUAAGCAGCAGUGCCAGGAGGAGCAGCAGAGGAGG
rnacentral:lncRNA from 1 species